UAUUUAUUAACUCAGAAGAGGAUGUAAUGAAGAUGAAAACAAAACACUUGGGCAAAAGGAAAACAAAACAUCACAGCAGUUUGCUGGCUAACCAUGUAACAAGCAAGCGAACAAACAAGCAAGAACCGACGAAUACUAAGGGAAACAUGAGGGACAGGGACACGGACACACGGACACAGACACAGACACAGACACACACACACACACACACACACACACACACACACACACACACACACACACACACACACACACACAUACACACUAAGACUAAUGACUAAACGAGAGACAGCUGGAAACAAUGAGGGAUGAAAUCUGGAACACAGGCUCGACAAGGAAGGCAAAAAUACUGGAACAUUUCAACAUAAGAGGCUCUUUGGACACAGAAAGACGACAAAAGGGGUUCACACUGUGACAAUCUCAUCGCAUCUUCAAACUGGAGAUAGAUGAUAAUUGAAGACAGGAGAACUUCAGGUGUUUGAAAAGUGCAUGAUUUGUGAGCAACAACUAUCCUGCCACAAAGACACUUCAAUCCAAGAAGAAGGACCUUGAUCUUCAUCUGACAGGCCUACAACAGCUGAAUCUAGAUCUUCACAUUCCACAGGAGGGCCGUUUUGUUGUUUAAACAAAAAAAAAAAAUCUGUUUAACACUGAAAGAAAGACAAAAGGAUCUCAAUGAAGCUGUGGUGGACAGUCGUGGAAGUUUAGGGGUUGUGGGCCUUCACCCAGAAGCUUGACAUGACUAUGUGCUUCCAACAAGGCAUGCAAUGAAGGGUAUGAUUGCUACGAGAUUAAAGAAAACAAAAGAAAAGGUGAUAGCAGAUGUUUAUUAUCAGAUAUGUUGUCCUUUAUGAACCUAGAUGUAUACCUUGCAGUAACUCAGUGAUGACACAGAGUUGCUGAAGAAUCAUUGGAAUCUGAUCCAAUAUGACUUCCAUGUAACACAAAGACAAAAAAAAAACACAUACUUAGUCCCUGAUUCAAGGUCAUGGAAUUUUGUAGUGACUCAAAAGCCGACUUAUUGCACAACACUGGGCUCUUUAGGAUCCAUAUCUUCAUCUGAAUCAUCCCAACUGUCAAUUUACAGCAGGACAGCCUGGUGAUGGGAAUGGGAAAGACAACCUCUGGGAUCUUUUGGACUGUAAAAUUGGACACAGAAAGUCCAGAGUUUCACUGCUCAUGCCACAGUGGAUGUUCAGUGAGUGCACCAUCAGCAGAACAAAUGGUCCACUGGAAUACUGGACAAGACACCAGAUCAUCCAUUUGGGAAAGAAGUACCUUACAAUCCCAAUUUCUAAAGCUGAGUUCUGUGCAAAAAAAGCAAUCUUUUAAAUGUUAAAAUGUUCAAACUACUUACUUUUCUUAAUAAAAAAUCCUAAUAAAAUUAAAAAAUGACUUGUCACACACACACGUUUACCUAUUCUAUCUAAAUGAAGACAUACCUAUAUUGCUGUCUUCUAUUGUUUUUUUGUUUUUUUCCCCAAAUCUAAUUACAAUUUCUUCAGACCAAAUUCACAGGUGCACUCAGAAAAAUGCAUGUUUGUUGUCAUUGUAAAAUUCUCCUGUUUGCAGUCAGUCUUGAUUAAUUUAUUUCACAAGUGAAAGUGUCCAAUCACUGGUGGUUAUUGAGACAAAAAAAUAUAUAUAUGGCUGGUCAUAUAUGAUUGUAAUUUUGCAGAGCUCAUGAAUGUGCACCCAGCACCAUAUGUAGAUUAAACAGCUUAUUCUCAUGACUAUCAUGAGUCUCCAUUUGUGAGUGUUCAAUAUUUUUCAAAAAUACUAUCCAACUGUUAGUAUUUCUUUCUGUUUAAAAGUUUAGCAAUUAGAAAAAAAGUUACUGAGUGCACCUUUAACCCUAUCCCAACCCUGAAAGAAAACUUUAUGCAUUUUUAUAAUAAUAGAAACCAUUAAGAAAUAAUUUUUACCUUUAAGGAUGUCCCUAAAGAUUACUUUUGUCAGAUUCGGCUAACUUCUGGGGACGAUUUUGCAUGAUAAAUUGGUACCAAAUUUUGGCACAACAGUCACUGUUAAUGUAAAAAAAAAAAAAAUAAUAAUAAUUACAUCUUAUCAGCUACCUUUGGUUCAGAAGACAAUUAAACAAAUGUCAAAAACAAGUACCUAAAUGUACACUGCCAAUUGCACAAUGCAAUUGUAUAGAUAGUAUUUAUAGUAUUUAUGACUAUCCCAGUAGACAAUUUGCAUAUUGCAAAGUUUUGUUAAAGCAUUAUUUUUUAAUCAUACUGGCAUAUUUAAAGGGUUUAAAGUAAAUAAAUAUAAAUAAACAGAGUCAAUUUGUACUUGACAUUUAAGAUAAAGUUGACCUAUGUUUUUAAGUCCU